CAAAGGAAGCGAUUCCGGCGGGGGAUGGGCAUGCGGCGCAUUAGCUAGUCGGCGGGGUAACGGCCCACCGAGGCGACGAUGCGUAGGGGUUCUGAGAGGAAGGUCCCCCACACUGGUACUGAGACACGGACCAGACUCCUACGGGAGGCAGCAGUGAGGAAUAUUGGUCAAUGGGCGGGAGCCUGAACCAGCCAAGUCGCGUGAGGGAAGACGGUCCUAUGGAUUGUAAACCUCUUUUGCCGGGGAGCAACGGGGUCCUUGCGAGGGCCUAAUGAGAGUACCCGGAGAAAAAGCAUCGGCUAACUCCGUGCCAGCAGCCGCGGUAAUACGGAGGAUGCGAGCGUUAUCCGGAUUUAUUGGGUUUAAAGGGUGCGUAGGCGGGCUGUUAAGUCAGCGGUCAAAUGUCGGGGCUCAACCCCGGCCUGCCGUUGAAACUGGUGGCCUCGAGUGGGCGAGAAGUAUGCGGAAUGCGUGGUGUAGCGGUGAAAUGCGUAGAUAUCACGCAGAACUCCGAUUGCGAAGGCAGCAUACCGGCGCCCGACUGACGCUGAGGCACGAAAGCGUGGGUAUCGAACAGGAUUAGAUACCCUGGUAGUCCACGCAGUAAACGAUGAAUGCUAGCUGUCCGGGGCUUCGGU
rnacentral:rRNA from 1 species